rnacentral:rRNA from 1 species
CCUACGGGGGGCUGCAGUAACGAAUCUUCCCCAAUGCACGAAAGUGUGAGGGAGCGACGCCGCGUGUGGGACGAAGUCCUUCGGGAUGUAAACCACUGUCAGGGGGUACCGGACCCCCAGAGGAAGAGGCGGCUAACUCUGUGCCAGCAGCCGCGGUAAGACAGAGGCCUCAAGCGUUAGGCGGAAUCACUGGGCUUAAAGCGUGUGUAGGCGGAUCGUUAAGUGUCUUGUGAAAUCCCACGGCUCAACCGUGGAACUGCUGGGCAUACUGGCGAUCUUGGGCCAUUCAGGGGCGACUGGAACAAGCGGUGGAGCGGUGAAAUGCGUAGAUAUCGCUUGGAACGCCGAAGGUGAAAACAGGUCGCUGGGAGUGCCGACGCUGAGACACGAAAGCCAGGGGAGCAAACGGGAUUAGAUACCCUUGUAGUC